rfam:HIV-1 isolate 99SE-17087 from Sweden gag-pol fusion polyprotein gene, partial cds.
UUUUUUAGGGAAAAUUUGGCCUUCCCGUGGGGGGAGGCCAGGGAAUUUCCUU